AACGAACGCUGGCGGCAGGCUUAACACAUGCAAGUCGAACGCUCGUGGCAACACGGGAGUGGCGGACGGGUGAGUAACGCGUAGGAACGUAUCCUGAGGUGGGGGAUAACCCUGGGAAACUAGGGCUAAUACCGCAUGAUGGCGAGAGCCCAAAGAUUUAUCGCCUUGGGAGCGGCCUGCGUCUGAUUAGCUUGUUGGUGGGGUAACGGCCUACCAAGGCGAUGAUCAGUAGCUGGUCUGAGAGGACGAUCAGCCACACUGGCACUGCGACACGGGCCAGACUCCUACGGGAGGCAGCAGUAAGGAAUAUUGCGCAAUGGGCGAAAGCCUGACGCAGCGACGCCGCGUGGGGGGAUGAAGGUCUUCGGAUUGUAAACCCCUUUCGGGAGGGAAGAUGGAGCGAGCAAUCGUUCGGACGGUACCUCCAGAAGCAGCCACGGCCAACUU
rnacentral:rRNA from 1 species